rnacentral:lncRNA from 1 species
ACCCCUUGUAAUCAUGGAGAAGCAGAUACACGAAUGUUUGUCCAUGUUCGGCUUGCUUCCUGUACGUGACAUAUCAAAUGUGUUUGGUCCUCGUGUAGCUACUCUUCCUUUCGUUCAUGCAUUCAGUGGAUGUGAUACUUUAUUGGAUUUUCGUGGGAAAGGGAAUAGGUCAGUUUGGAUGACAUGGGAAGUAUUUCCAGAUGUAAGGGACGUUUUUUUUUCUUCGCUGAAGUAUAAAGACACAUACAUGGACAUCAUAGAAGCAUUUGUCUGCAUCAUGUAUGACAGAACAACAUCAACAUUUGCUGUUAACGAGGCGCGAUGUAAAUUGUUACCCAGGAAGCAGCGGCAUCGUGAUGCAGUUCCGCCUACAAGAGUUUUUUCUCGGAGCACAUUCAAAGAAAAGCAUAUCAAGGAGGACAAGUUUGGGCUCAGCCUGAUUUAUGUAUUCGACAGGUACAUAUACCAAGUCAUGAACACUGGGG